rnacentral:rRNA from 1 species
CGGACGGGUGAGUAAUGUCUGGGAAACUGCCCGAUGGAGGGGGGAGAAUACUGGAACGGUAGCUAAUACCGCAUAACGUCGCAAGACCAAAGAGGGGGACCUUCGGGCCUCUUGCCAUCGGAUGUGCCCAGAUGGGAUUAGCUAGUAGGUGGGGUAACGGCUCACCUAGGCGACGAUCCCUAGCUGGUCUGAGAGGAUGACCAGCCACACUGGAACUGAGACACGGUCCAG